AACGAACGCUGGCGGCAUGCCUAACACAUGCAAGUCGAACGAGACCUUCGGGUCUAGUGGCGCACGGGUGCGUAACGCGUGGGAACCUGCCCUUAGGUUCGGAAUAACUCCCCGAAAGGGGUGCUAAUACCGGAGAAUGUCUUCGGACCAAAGAUUUAUCGCCUUUGGAUGGGCCCGCGUUGGAUUAGCUAGUUGGUAGGGUAAAAGCCUACCAAGGCGACGAUCCAUAGCUGGUCUGAGAGGAUGAUCAGCCACAAUGGGACUGAGACACGGCCCAGACUCCUACGGGAAGGAGCAGUGGGGAAUAUUGGACAAUGGGCGAAAGCCUGAUCCCGCAAUGCCGCGGGAGUGAUGAAGGCCUUAGGGUUGUAAAGCUCUUUUACCCGGGAUGAUAAUGACAGUACCGGGAGAAUAAGCUCCGGCUAACUCCGUG
rnacentral:rRNA from 1 species